rnacentral:misc_RNA from 1 species
CACAUUGGCAUAGAAGAACUGAUUUUAUCGUAUUCGCAUGUCGCGGUGACCAAAUAAGCUCGACCGAUACUGAUGCGUAGAAAAUUCGUCUAAACAUUCGACGACAACAACCACGUGGGUUUUAAACGCAUGCCGUUAUUAUUGGAGAAAAAGUAUCAUAGUGAUCAGCUGCAACAUAGUGAGUUGAAAAUCAGUGGACAAAAAGCAAAAAGUGAGAAUAACCAACAGUUUAUUCUAUCGAGACAUUGAUAGAAGACAUCGUUACGUCAGCAAAAAAUGAGAACGUGUUCUCUACUAAAUGUUACUUUGUUCUUCUUCUAUCUACAACAAGGAAAAGCUUGGCAGCAUCAAGCUAAGGAAAGAUCACCAGUUAUAUUGAUUCCCGGAGAUGGUGGGAGUCAGGUUGAAGCAAAACUCAAUAAGUCAAAGGUCAUUCACUAUGCUUGUGAGAAAGUGUCCAAUGAUUAUUUUAAUAUUUGGCUUAACUUGGAACUCCUUGUUCCGUAUGCCAUUGGAUGUUGGAUCGACAAUAUGGUUCUGAAUUAUGACAAUGUCACAAGAAAAUCAUAUAACCAAGAAGGAGUGGAUAUCAGAAUACCUGGAUGGGGAGAUCCCUUUUUUGUCGAAUAUCUUGAUCCAAGUAAAGCUUUCCCAGGAUCAUAUUUCAAGGAUAUCGGAAAUAUGCUAGUUAACAAUUUAGGAUAUGUGAGAAAUGUUUCAAUACGUGGAGCUCCUUAUGAUUUCCGUCGAGGCCCAAAUGAGAAUGAGGAGUUUUUUGUCAAGCUAAAAACUCUAGUAGAGGAAACAUAUAUAAUGAAUAAUAAUCAGCGAGUAACACUAAUUGCCCAUAGUAUGGGUGGACCAAUGAGUCUACUCUUUUUGCAGCGACAAACUCAAAAGUGGAAAAACAAUUAUAUUGAAUCCUUAAUAACCUUAGCAGGAGUGUGGGGGGGAUCUGUUAAGGCCAUCAAAGUAUUUGCGAUUGGUGAUAAUCUUGGAACGCAUUUUCUACGAGAAAGUACAUUGAGAGAAGAACAAAUUACAAAUCCAAGUUUGGGAUGGCUAUUACCUUCAAAGUUGUUUUGGAAAGAUACAGAAGUUUUAGUUGAAACAGCAAGUAAAAAUUACACUCUAGCAGAUCUUCAGCAGUAUCUAAUAGAUAUAAACGUGCCAAAUGGGUGGGAGUUUAGGAAGGAUACAGAGAAAUACCAAAUGAAUUUUGAAGCGCCUGGAGUAACAGUCCAUUGUUUGCAUGGCUCUGCAGUUGGGACGGUAGAAAAGCUGUCUUAUGGCAAGUUGGAAGAUUACCCAAAGCUUGUACUCGGAGAUGGAGAUGGGACGGUAAAUGCUCGGAGUUUAAAAGGUUGUUUGUAUUGGCAGAGUGACCAUCACCCAAAAAUUUAUCACCAAGAAUUCCCAGGUGUUGAUCACAUGAGAAUACUAAAGAGUGACGACAUUUUGAAUUAUAUAUCUAACGUCUUAUCUGUAUGACCUGCUUCACAUCAUAAUCCUGGCAAUGAAAUAUUCAACAAAAAUGUCAACGGUGAUAUUUAAUCCUGAGAUAGAAUAAUUUCAGCCAUUCUGAAUCAUGAAUUGGUUACCUUCAUCAAACCAUACUUCUGAACGCACGAGACAAAUGAAAAAUCCUUAGUUAGUUAAAGUUGCCCUGGUAUGAAAGGUCUUGGAUUUUGCCAACAGUUACUUAGCAUGAGUUGAAACAAUUUUUACUUUAUGACGCAAUAUAAUUAUAAGCGUAAUGCCAAGUACACUUUAGUCCAGAUUUUUUUUAAACGUAAAUAAUGAAACUUCCGUAGGUAAAAUAAUUGGUUUCAACUAUACACACGACAGAUGGAUGAUUGAGUUUAUGGCAAACUUUGAGAAAUGACUGAUGUUGAUUUGACAUGUACAUAAAAACAAAUACUAAUAGACGAAUAUACAUUUGUAGAAUGAAUCUUUGUAAUUUA